rnacentral:rRNA from 1 species
GAUGAACGCUGGCGGCGUGCCUAAUACAUGCAAGUAGAACGCUGAAGGAGGAGCUUGCUCUUCUGGAUGAGUUGCGAACGGGUGAGUAACGCGUAGGUAACCUGCCUGGUAGCGGGGGAUAACUAUUGGAAACGAUAGCUAAUACCGCAUGACAACAGUUAUUGCAUGAUAACUGUUUAAAAGGGGCAACUGCUCCACUACCAGAUGGACCUGCGUUGUAUUAGCUAGUUGGUGAGGUAACGGCUCACCAAGGCGACGAUACAUAGCCGACCUGAGAGGGUGAUCGGCCACACUGGGACUGAGACACGGCCCAGACUCCUACGGGAGGCAGCAGUAGGGAAUCUUCGGCAAUGGACGGAAGUCUGACCGAGCAACGCCGCGUGAGUGAAGAAGGGUUUCGGAUCGUAAAGCUCUGUUGUAAGAGAAGAACGAGUGUGAGAGUGGAAAGUUCACACUGUGACGGUAUCUUACCAGAAAGGGACGGCUAACUACGUG